GCUAGCUACAGGCUUAACACAUGCAAGCCGAGGGUUAUCAGGAAGAAAGCUUGCUUUCUUUGCUGGCGACCGGCGCACGGGUGAGUAACACGUAUCCAACCUGCCCUUUACUCGGGGAUAGCCUUUCGAAAGAAAGAUUAAUACCCGAUGGCAUAAUGAUUCCGCAUGGUUUCAUUAUUAAAGGAUUCCGGUAAAGGAUGGGGAUGCGUUCCAUUAGGUUGUUGGUGAGGUAACGGCUCACCAAGCCUUCGAUGGAUAGGGGUUCUGAGAGGAAGGUCCCCCACAUUGGAACUGAGACACGGUCCAAACUCCUACGGGAGGCAGCAGUGAGGAAUAUUGGUCAAUGGGCGCUAGCCUGAACCAGCCAAGUAGCGUGAAGGAUGAAGGCUCUAUGGGUCGUAAACUUCUUUUAUAUAAGAAUAAAGUGCAGUAUGUAUACUGUUUUGUAUGUAUUAUAUGAAUAAGGAUCGGCUAACUCCGUGCCAGCAGCCGCGGUAAUACGGAGGAUCCGAGCGUUAUCCGGAUUUAUUGGGUUUAAAGGGAGCGUAGGUGGACUGGUAAGUCAGUUGUGAAAGUUUGCGGCUCAACCGUAAAAUUGCAGUUGAUACUGUCAGUCUUGAGUACAGUAGAGGUGGGCGGAAUUCGUGGUGUAGCGGUGAAAUGCUUAGAUAUCACGAAGAACUCCGAUUGCGAAGGCAGCUCACUGGACUGCAACUGACACUGAUGCUCGAAAGUGUGGGUAUCAAACAGGAUUAGAAACCCUGGUAGUCCACCCAGUAAACGAUGAAU
rnacentral:rRNA from 1 species